rnacentral:lncRNA from 1 species
UUAAAUUGCACAGAUAUAUGCAGCAUUAAGUAUCUUAGCAAAACAAAAAAUUUGAUCUCUUUCUGAUUCAAGAUUCUAGUUAUUUAGUCUUUCUGAAAUAAAUAUAGGACAUUAACUUUUCUAAUAAAUAUAAUUCCGAAUUAGGAUGAGUGCUCCUAUUUUUAAUGAUUCAACUGAUGAAGAGCAGUGUCAGGAUCGCCGUAGCUAUUUGAUAGAAUUCAGAUGAAGGAUUUCUGACUGAUUUAGAAGAUGUGAUUGGCUGUUGCAAAUUCAUGGAGCUGGUCCACAUAUAAGAAAAACAAGUACCAGAGGUUCACAUUUAAUAAGGAAGAUGCAGAUACCUAGACAAUGAAAAUAACAGACGAAAUUCCAAGAGCUCUACACUCUUUAAAAUCAUAAAGCCACCUUCAAGAAUGUACUUAAACCCUCCUUAUAUUGGAUCUACAAAGUGAGACUGAACCACUUAUUCACACAUUUUGUGAAAAGCUUACAGAAGCACCUGCCUCAAAAAUGGCUGCAGUUUGCCUGAUAGUUGAGUUGGCUGCCAAAGUAAGGAUUGAAUUACUUGGAACUUACACUGAAGACAAUGCUUCUCAAGUUGGAGAUGAUACUCUUAAUACCUGAAGCUAAAAUAAUGGAAGGUCCAGAUAUGUAUGCGGAAGUAAGUAGGAAGUUCCAUUAACCUAACAUGUGUCAUUGUGGACAGCCCAGAAGCCCCAUUUUAUGUAUUCAGGUACAGUCACAGUUCAGAAGGGUGGUCGAAAUACUGCAGUCAGUAGGCUAAAGAUCAGGGACGCACAACCAACGAAUUCAGGAAACUACACUUGCUCUCCUUCGAAUGCAGGUGCAGUCAGUUCCAUUGUAUAUGUGGUCAAAGGAGAGAAGCAGGGGAUGGUUUGAAAUAUCGAAGGGUCUGCAACACAGAAUUGCUGUGCCAUUUACAUCGGUAAUCUUCUUCUUUUUGGAAUGCUCUUAUACCUUUUAUAAGAAGAUGACCAGCUUCACUUUAAACACUCAAAAGAGGUACAGAAUUGAGUAGUAGAGAAGUAGAUCUGUGUCAUCCCUCACCGUUUCCCCAUUUUGGAGAUGAUUUCUUUUCUUGUGGAUUAUCAGUGCAGCAUGUAUUGGAUAGUAUCAUCCAAUUUUGACUGGAGUGUUUUCACAUUGUAAUUUUGUCUCAAACAAGGAAAGUUCCAGACAAUUUUAUAGCCCAUCUAAAGAAAUCUAUUUUUCACAUCAAAACUAAUUAUCCAAAUAAUCCAAGUAAAUUUUCUAUGUUUAAAUUCCCAUUUAACUUUUGUUUUAUGUAUAAAUAGAAAACGAAAUUUUAUUAGAAUUACUAUCUGAUUAAUUGAAGUUAUUUUAAGAUGAAUUUUUUUUUCUUUAAAUAAAUUUUAGCUUAAACUGAAAAUUAGUGCAUGUUAAUAUAAGUAUCAAUUUAACUUCCUAUCAUUUCUUUAAAUCAUCUCAAUAUUUUUUUGUAUGAUGUUAGAAAAGAUAUAAAUUCAUUAAUCACCAAUUAUUAUUAUCAUUCUCAUUGUUUAACAAAUCUUUUAACAUUGCUUGCUUUUAUUUGUUAAAAUUAACUGAAAUUUAUUUAUUUAAGUGUUGGAGAAGUUAUUGCUUAAAUUAAAAUUUAAUUAAAUAUGAUAGUUUGUUACGUUUUUACUUCGAAAAAUCUCAUUUGUGUUCAUGGAGAACAGUUGCUCUAUGUAGUUAUUAAACUGUUCUUUAUAUUAUACAGUUAUUAAUUUAUGAAUAACAUCCCUGUAUUUUAUUCAAAUUCUUGUUUUAAUAUUUUAUAAGCAGUGUUGACAGGUAAAUUGCAAUUUAUUUUGGAAUAUCUUUUUGUGUGUUUUACUCUAAUCAUGUCUUUUCAUAGAAUCUCAUUUUAUUUUUUAAGAAAAAUUGUAUAUUAGUAGAUUGAAAUGCGAUUUUAGUAACUAUUUUGAUUUUGUUUAUUCUCUGAAUUCAACUUGUUUGUAUA